rnacentral:lncRNA from 1 species
UUUAUAGUCUAUUGCGUCUGCAGACAUGGAUUUCAACCAGCUGGAGGCAUUCUUGACUGCUCAAACCAAAAAGCAAGGUGGGAUCACAUCUGACCAAGCUGCUGUCAUUUCCAAAUUCUGGAAGAGCCACAAGACAAAAAUCCGUGAGAGCCUCAUGAACCAGAGCCGCUGGAAUAGCGGGCUUCGGGGCCUGAGCUGGAGAGUUGAUGGCAAGUCUCAGUCAAGGCACUCAGCUCAAAUACACACACCUGUUGCCAUUAUAGAGCUGGAAUUAGGCAAAUAUGGACAGG